ACAACAGUGAGCAGGUGGAGCAGGAUGUGUGUAACACUUGUUGUGUCAAUAAUGAUCACCCUCCAUCUUGGAAGAUGGGGCUCUGGGCUUCUGAGGGUGAUCUGCAGCCUUCAGUGAACAGCAGGCUCUGGCAUCUCUUGUUUUACAGGCUCUUUCCUCUCUGCAGCCCAGCCACAAUCCAGCAGGAGUUUGGGGUGUUGCACUAUAAUGGUGUGGUCAAAGAGGAAGUGUGAAGAGGGCUGACCAGCAGUUACAGUACCAAAGGCAGAAGGAUUCAAUGCAAGUUGAAAGACAGAGAGGCUGCAGAGUGUGAUGAGAGACUUGUAGCAGUUUCUUGAGCAAGAAAUGUUGCUUGAGGGAGGAAGACAGAGUGCAUCAGAAACCUGUUUGAGAGGCUGCGUAUACUAAUGGCUGUGAGAGUACAGGCUCCUGGUCCACUCUCACCUUCUGCGCCAGCACCAUGUCCUGAGUGAGCUCCAUGGUACCAUGUCCUGAAGAUCAGGAACCCACUGGACAAUUCUAUGGGUGGGCAUCCUAUGCAACCAGGACUGAACAUUAUUUGGACUGGGCAAAUGUACCCAAUGCAGUCUUCCAUCCCUGUGCAAUCCUUCAUCUCCAUGCAGCACCGCCGAGUGAGAAAGGAGAAUAGGGGAUGGGGACACCCAGGAGUAGGAGAGUUUCCUUUUUUUCUACACUGGUUUCACUAUUUUGUACUGUUAAAUGUUUGUGUUAUGAACUUUAUUUUGUUUCUGGUUUGUUCUUUUUAUAGCAGCUGGCCAGCCUGUCAGUUUUUUAAUACUGUCAUUUUGUAAUACAACCACGUUAACGAAUAAAGUCUUUGAAUUCAUUA